rnacentral:rRNA from 1 species
AACGAACGCUGGCGGCGUGGAUUAGGCAUGCAAGUCGAGCGAGAAAGCGGUCUUCGGACCGUGAGUAAAGCGGCGAACUGGUGAGUAACAGGUGGGUAAUGUGCCCUGAAGUGGGGGAUAACACGGGGAAACUCGUGCUAAUACCGAAUGUGGCCUUGAGGACCCUGGUCCGAUAGGUCAAAGGCUUCGGUCGCUUCAGGAUCGGCCCGUCCCCGAUUAGCUUGUUGGUGAGGUCAAAGCUCACCAAGGCGACGAUCGGUAGCUGGUCUGAGAGGAUGGUCAGCCACACUGGGACUGAGAUACGGCCCAGACUCCUACGGGAGGCAG